AUUGAACGCUGGCGGCAUGCCUAACACAUGCAAGUCGAACGGCAGCACAGUAAAGAUUUCGGUCUUUAUGGGUGGCGAGUGGCGGACGGGUGAGUAACGCGUAGGAAUCUGUCCUGGAGAGUGGGAUAACCCGAGGAAACUCGGGCUAAUACCACAUGAUAUUGAGAAAUUAAAAGCAGGGGACCGAAAGGCCUUGCGCUCUGGGGUGAGCCUACGUCGGAUUAGCUAGUUGGUGGGGUAAAGGCCUACCAAGGCGACGAUCCGUAGCUGGUCUGAGAGGAUGACCAGCCACACUGGGACUGAGACACGGCCCAGACUCCUACGGGAGGCAGCAGUGGGGAAUCUUGGACAAUGGGGGAAACCCUGAUCCAGCGAUGCCGCGUGUGUGAAGAAGGCCUUCGGGUUGUAAAGCACUUUAAGUGGGGAAGAAAGGUAUCAAGUGAAUAACUUGGUGCUAUGACGGUACCCGCAGAAUAAGCACCGGCUAACUCUGUGCCAGCCGCCGCGGUAACAC
rnacentral:rRNA from 1 species